GGGGAAUAUUGCACAAUGGGCGAAAGCCUGAUGCAGCAACGCCGCGUGAGUGAUGAAGGCCUUCGGGUUGUAAAGCUCUGUCUUCUGGGACGAUAAUGACGGUACCAGAGGAGGAAGCCACGGCUAACUACGUGCCAGCAGCCGCGGUAAUACGUAGGUGGCGAGCGUUGUCCGGAUUUACUGGGCGUAAAGGAUGCGUAGGCGGAUGUUUAAGUGAGAUGUGAAAUCCCCGGGCUUAACUUGGGGGCUGCAUUUCAAACUGGAUAUCUAGAGUGCGGGAGAGGAGAAUGGAAUUCCUAGGGUGGCGGUGAAAUGCGUAGAGAUUAGGAAGAACACCAGUGGCGAAGGCGAUUCUCUGGACCGUAACUGACGCUGAGGCAGGAAAGCGUGGGUAGCAAAC
rnacentral:rRNA from 1 species